GAAAAACCCACAGGUAACCUCAGGUGAAAUAUAGGCUGCUCUGGAAAAAGACAGUGUGGUUGUUUCAAGGAGCACAAUACAACGAUACUUGAACAAAAAUUAGCUGCAUGGUCUAGUUCCCAGAAAGAAGCAUAUACUGCGCCAAUGCCCAAAAAGGUCCAGUUACAGUGUGUCCGACAACACCUUGACACGCCUCACAACUUCUGGC